UACGUAGGGUGCGAGCGUUAAUCGGAAUUACUGGGCGUAAAGCGUGCGCAGGCGGUUUUGUAAGCCAGAUGUGAAAGCCCCGGGCUUAACCUGGGAAUGGCAUUUGGGACUGCAAGGCUUGAGUGCGGCAGAGGAGACUGGAAUUCCUGGUGUAGCAGUGAAAUGCGUAGAUAUCAGGAGGAACACCGAUGGCGAAGGCAGGUCUCUGGGCUGACACUGACGCUCAUGCACGAAAGCGUGGGGAGCGAACGGG
rnacentral:rRNA from 1 species